AGUACAGUGUGGUGAUGUUCCUGGUCCAUAACAGUCCUAGCCUACUAAUGAGCUAAUAAGUUGAAGCAGGUGUAAUAGAGCAGGAGAAUCACUAAACUGUGCUGGACUCUGACCAUACCGGUCCACAGCUGGGUCCCUGCUCUGAACACAGAGGUAGGGAACAUGAAAAACAGACAUGCAGUGCCUCCCACCAUCACUGUUUUCCCUGCUAGUCACUUUAACACUGGCUCCAUAAAACUGGAGCAGAUCAGGAAUAGACCUCUACUACUACCCCCAACUUUAAAAGUUUGUCAUCCAGAAUCAGCAACCUAUGUACUCCUGUAUUUGUCCUGGAAUAAAAGAAAAGCUCCUGGACCACAGACACAUUAGUGCUCGAUCAAAGAUUAAGCCUCAUAUUAACAGAAGUGCUGCAUAAAUGGAAAUGCCGGUCAGUGGAGUUUCUAAGGUCGAUAACAUUAAUACUCCAUGUUUCUCUGAAAAGGUCAUUUUACAUCGUGCUAAAGCCUAUCACUGAUAGUUUAAACCUUGUUAAAAUAUGAAAUACGUGGUUUAAAUCUGAAAAUAAAAUAUAAUCCUGACUAUUGAGGAACGCUGAUAUCCGGAACGUGGUGGUUUAAACCAUGGCAUUCAGUGAUUUAGAUAACACGACCACAUCAAGCACCGUCCUGAUAUAAAGCUGCCUGAAUGUAAUGAAGCUCGCCUGCAGGACGCCAGGUUGUCCAACAGGGGGCGACAUAUGGAACAUCCGUUAUUUCCAGUUUGGAAAUUCAAAACAAAACCAGCCAGGCUAGUUCCCGACCUGCACCGCGGCAAAAAUAAGCGCUGACCGUUAAAAAAAUUAACAAAAAAAAUAUUAAAAAAUUCAUAAAGCGAAUAUCUGCGUACAAGAUGCCUGGUUUCGUAAAGACUAUCAAAAAUACAAGUCAGUGAGGCGUCGAAACCUAAAAAUUUGUAGAGGAAAUUUUUUAUUUAUUUUUUUUUCUCAGUGCCUCGUGUCAUCACAGUGUAGAGGUGCUGCGGUGAAGCCUUGGCGCCAUUUUCAAACUUCAGAGCCCGAGUGAAUGGAACUCUUGUUAUACACAAAAUUGUUAUUUUGCUCUUUUAAAUUUUUUAUCUUCUGAUCCUUCACCACUUUACACUUUGCAGUGAUUAUACUGACUCCGAGGACAAGAUUUAAAAAAAAAAAAAAAAAAGGUGCAGAAUUGACUUCAGAGGACGAUUGGUGUUCAGUGAGUUCCUUUUGGGAUUAUCAGCCACCUUCACCUCUCCUCUGUUGCUCAAGAGGGUGAAGAAAAAAGGCCGAGGGUAAGUUAGUUUCUUUUCUGUGUCUGCUUCAAAGCUUAACCAAAAUGGCCCCUGGUUUGAAUGGGUAAGAAAAAGUUAGGCCAGGGUGUGUGAGUGUGGGCUUGCGCUCUCUCUCUCUCUCUCUCUCUCUCUCUCUCUCUCUCUCUCUCUCUCUCACUUUCACUCCGCACCUUUUUGCAAUCUCUCCAUUUCUUAUUCUCUCUCUCUCUCUCUCUCUCUCUCUCUCUCUCUCUGUCUCUCUCUCUCUCUCUCUCUCUCUCUCUCUCGCCCCCUGAUCUCCCAUUUCUUGUGCUUUUUGUUGUUUGCUCUUUCUCUCGGUGAACAGCUGGCAGGAGUAGACAAAAAUGAAUGCCUUCUUCAGCUGUGCUGACGUGAUCAUUUGAUUGAGACUGCAAAUAGGCUGCUCUUUUAUCAGAUAUAACUUCGGCUUCAAUCUACAGUCUUUUAGUAAUGCUGUAACAUUGUUGUGUAAUUAGUUAACCUUUCAAAAGUAUUUUUUUAAAUACCACUUUUCUGUUUUAUACCUGAAACCAAUAAAUAAUGUCCUAAUAUUAAAAAAAAAUCCACUGAAGGUUUGAUGACACUAGGUUGUGGUUUAUUCACAAUAUUUUCAAGUUUUUUAAACACACUACAUUAUCUGCAAUGGCAAGUGUAAUUUCAGUCGUAUUUCAUCUGAUCCUUAGUCAUGAGUUUAGAAUAAAUUAAAACAAAUAUUUUAUGUGAGAAUUAUGAUUUUCCGCUUUAAUUAAAGCUCAGAGUUUAGAUGUGUCAAGUGUGUGUAUGUGUGUGUGUGUGAAUUCUUUGUGGUAGGGCCACCUUUUUUUUGCUAACAUUUUAUUUUAAUUUUAUAAUAGCACAGUCAUUCAAAUUUAUUGUCAUUGCAGUAAUUAAUUCUGAUUAUACAGUCACUCAAACACUUAUUAUUCAGAAGAUGAAUGUCUAUUAAUUUUGUCUCUGUUGAUUCACUGUCAAGGUCACACCUUUGGGAUUUUCUUGUAUAUUGAUUUUUUUUUUCUUUGCUCUGUUCUUCUUUUUGUACUUAGUCUUUACACCUCACCCUCUGUAGCACUUUCAAAGUGUGAAAAAAACAGUUAAUUUACAGUUAAUUAGUUUCCUUUUCCACAUUUCUAUAUGUCCUGUUAAAUACGUCUUAACUUCUUUUUUUUCAACAUGGAUUUAAAUCUUAGGACUUUUCCCUUCUGUGUAGUGUUUUGGUAUUUUGCAUUAUUUUGUACUUUUAAUAUUUCUUUCUUUAGUGAAGUCUAUUCAUUAAAUUAAAUUAUGUAUUUAAUUUUUCCCCCUUCUCCCUUGUUCAUGAGGUGACAGGAUCAGAUAUAAUUUCAUAAGGUAACAGUGUGAAUGGUACUAGAGAAAUAAAUUAAGAAAAUAAAUUAUGAUUAAAAUCAACAGUGGGCAAUAUCACAAAUUCAUGAUGCUUGAAGAGAUUUGUGCGAUACACAAUAUGUAUCAUGAUAUUUAGUUUUGCUAAUUGCCAGCAAAAGAGUAGUGUUCCAUUUAAUUAAAAAUGAUGAAAAACUGAGUUUGAUGAUAUUUAAUGUCUACAAAAAUAAAUGAAUCUGAAACAGAGAUAAAAUAUGAAAUUUGAAAAAUUACAUUUACAAUUGUAAAGAUUCCGUACAAAAUCAUCAAACAUCAAAUCAGCUGCUUCCAAUCGGAUUGUAAUUGGUAUUUAAUUACUAAUUAAAAAAAAAAAAAGGUUCUUUAAAAAUAGUAUAUCAUAAUACAUGUGCUCUCUCAGAAAAGUGCAUUGUGGUAUAUCACGAUUUCGAUAUUAUAGUGAAAUUGCCCAGCCCCAUUUAAAAUUGCAUCUAAAAACAUUUUUAGAUACUUGUUCUUCUAUUCUUAUUUUUUCCUUUAGUAGUCACUGUUUUGUAGUCUAACUUUUUAAUAGACAUUAUUUGUGGUGUUCUUGCUCUGCCUUUAACAGUCCACCAUUUUGUUUUUCAUUUUCAUCAUCCAGUCAGACUAUGCACUUUAAGACACUUGUUCAGUUUGAAAGGCUGUUAUUAGUGUGGCAUGAAAAUAUUCAGCCUUUUAUAUGAUCAUAUUUUAUAUGAUCUAGUGCAACACGAUUGGAAUUACCUAUUUCAUACUAAAUGCUUAUUAUUAUUUUUUUUCCCAGUAAAGCAGAUAUGUUUAAAACCCAGAAUUGUUUCUGUUCACCUCAUAGUUACAUUUCCCUACAGUGGAGCUCAUUUUGGUUUAGAUAUGGUUUAUGGUUUAGAUAAAGAAACAAAAAUAAACAGGGAUACUGAUUAAUAUAGGCUGCUCUUUCUUGAAAUAAGGUCUGCUUUUUACCGGAUGUGUUAAAGGAGUGUCAGCAUCUCCCUCGACCCUCAUGAGCAAGCCAGAGAGCUCUGUAGCAGCACAUCAUGGUUUGUAGGUUCCCAGGUUGAUUUCCAGAUCAUUGUGUGCUGUUACUGGGAACACUGGUGAUUCUGCAGCUAACAGCAUUUACAUAUUGUCCACCGCCUGCAUGGAUGCAUCACUGUGUGACUUUUCUUAAUAUUGGCCACAUUACAGUGGCUUGAUAUUCUAGGUAGUGCAGCGCAUUAUAGGAAUCAGACUGUUAUCACAUCGACCCUGAGUUGCACUGGCUUCUUGAACAUAGCAAAUUGUAUUUUGAUAAAUAACACAGGAUGAUUUAAUGAUUAUGAAACUUACUACACUGAUCACCUUUAAGCUUUCUCUAAAGGAAAAUAUAGUGUGUUUUAGAAAAUCUGUGAUGGAUGACUAGAUUUAUUCCAGUGAGCAUUUCCUUGUACACGUUUUACUAGAGUGGUACAAGGAACAAAUCCUUUGUGCAUCUCUCUCUUUCUGUUCCUUCUCCAGACCACACACUCAUGACGGCAGCUUUGUUUCUGUGUGCCUGACAUUAGCAGCACAUCAAUAUUGGCAGCUGCCCUCUCCCUGGGUUGCCAGUAUGUUUUGUGCUGCUCCCGUCAGACAGACACACUCUUCAUCUCUCUAGAACGCAGAUCAUCAGGACAAAUGCAUGUCCUUGAAGGCUGAUACGGGGUGUGUGAUAUUCACAUGUAUAUAGUCUCAAUAUUAUAAAUCAUGUAGAUACUUGUAAUUAAUAACUAAACAGACUUAAUGACUUCUGUUUGCAUUUGCACUUGUAAUAAAAAAAAGCUCAUUGUUUAAAUAGCAAGAAAUAAAAUCUAUUUAAAAGUUUA